GGAGAUGUUUAUAAGAAGACUGUGGAUGGAGGCUUGUCUAUUCCUCACAGUACCAAACGAUUCCCUGAUUAUGAUUCAGAGAGCAAGGAAUUCAGUGCAGAAGGACAUGAGAAGCACAUCUUGGGUCAGAACAUGGCAGACUA